rnacentral:rRNA from 1 species
UACAGAGGGUGCAAGCGUUAAUCGGAAUUACUGGGCGUAAAGGGCGCGUAGGUGGUUAUGUAAGUGAGAUGUGAAAUCCCCGGGCUUAACCUGGGAACUGCAUUUUAUACUGCGUAGCUAGAGUACAUGAGAGGGUAGUGGAAUUUCCGGUGUAGCGGUGAAAUGCGUAGAUAUCGGAAGGAACACCAGUGGCGAAGGCGGCUACCUGGCAUGAUACUGACACUGAGGCGCGAGAGCGUGGGGAGCAAACAGG